rnacentral:rRNA from 1 species
AACAGGAUUAGAUACCCUGGUAGUCCACGCCGUAAACGAUGUCGACUCGGAGGCUGUUCCCUUGAGGAGUGGCUUCCGGAGCUAACGCGUUAAAUCGACCGCCUGGGGAGUACGGCCGCAAGGUUAAAACUCAAAUGAAUUGACGGGGGCCCGCACAAGCGGUGGAGCAUGUGGUUUAAUUCGAUGCAACGCGAAGAACCUUACCUACUCUUGACAUCCAGAGAACUUUCCAGAGAUGGAUUGGUGCCUUCGGGAACUCUGAGACAGGCGCUGCAUGGCUGUCGUCAGCUCGUGUUGUGAAAUGUUGGGUUAAGUCCCGCAACGAGCGCAACCCUUAUCCUUUGUUGCCAGCGGUUCGGCCGGGAACUCAAAGGAGACUGCCAGUGAUAAACUGGAGGAAGGUGGGGAUGACGUCAAGUCAUCAUGGCCCUUACGAGUAGGGCUACACACGUGCUACAAUGGCGUAUACAAAGAGAAGCGACCUCGCGAGAGCAAGCGGACCUCAUAAAGUACGUCGUAGUCCGGAUUGGAGUCUGCAACUCGACUCCAUGAAGUCGGAAUCGCUAGUAAUCGUAGAUCAGAAUGCUACGGUGAAUACGUUCCCGGGCCUUGUACACACCGCCCGUCACACCAUGGGAGUGGGUUGCAAAAGAAGUAGGUAGCUUAACCUUCGGGAGGGCGCUUACCACUUUGUGAUUCAUGACUGGGGUGAAGUCGUAACAAGGUAACCGUAGGGGAACCUGCGGCUGGAUCACCUCCUU